AAUCUGCUGAUUCCAUAAACCUGAGAUUUUAUCUGAAAGAAUGCAACACAGGGGCACAACUGAAACACCAAGUAACCACUGCCCCAGACCACCCACUCCAGCUUUCCUUACAGGCUUCCACAGAAGACUUGCUCUACCAAGUUCAGGGAAAGACAAAAGAAACCAUUACAGAAGUGGAGUGAGCUCCUGCCUAUAGAGUGUCUGUCUUUGGCUGCAGUAUGUGGACAAGACAAAGGCUCCUGAAGUGUUUGUUUUAUCCAGACUGACUUGGAAGGAGGAAAUUGUAACCACAGCCAUUCAUUUAUAUUUAAAAAAAAUACCCUAUUGAAGCAUAAUCAUCUUCAUCAGAACUUGAAUGACCAUACCACUCACAGGUUUUAUGUUCUUAAACUACACAAAAAUUACCAUGUUUCUGCCUGCUUUCAACAUAGGACAUGAGGAGAAGAAAGAAUUCAGAUAUUAUACCAUUUCUAGACCCAGAGUAAAACUCUGGCUUUCACAAAUAAGCAUUUCUGCAAAAUGAGUUGAGAUGCAUCUGACAGGAAAGACUUAAGAGCACUUUCAAGUUGGAAAGCAGAUUAUCACCAACUAUAAAACUAAGUUUGAGCUCAGUAAAUAACAACUUACGUUGCACAAACAGAACUUGAGUUACUACACACAAAGGGCAUUUCGGACCGCUUCCCACAUUCAGCCUGUGGCUGUCAAUAUGCUGCCUGGAGCUAAUGGAUUUUCCCUGCUGCCAGCAAGCGACCUCACAGCACCAAGCCUGCUUGUGUGUACUCAGCACAGCAAUUUGGUUCCAAGGAAUGUUCAGUUUUUUAUCCUCCCAGGAUAUUCCUGUGGAAGAACAUAAAAAUGUAGUUCAAGGAUGACAGAAAAAUUGGUCAGAAAAUGAGAGAGUGAUCUUUGUGGCUAAGUCUCCUUCUGGAAAGAAGAGUGUCAUGCCUCCUGAACAUUCUGACCUAAGAGAGGAGAGUGAAAUGCUGGAUUGCCAAAGAGCUGGAACUUCUGAAGAUGGAGGUUCAAAUUGUACACAAUGCUUCACUGGUACCAUAUUCCAGAUAGAGAAAUCCCGUCUUAAGACAUUUGUGCCAUUCCAGAUUCAUGGGUACACCACAUGACUCAUGCACAGUGUUCUCUGGUGGAUGAGCAACUACGAGUAUGUGAUGGGAGAGCAAUGAAAAUUCACACACAGGGAGCAUUUGUGGAUUACUGUGAGCUCAGAUUAAUGUUGCAUUCUAUCGCUGUGGUAACUGAGCACAUCACAUGGCAAAACUAUAUUCUGUUCUUAGCCAUCAGGAAGAUGAUGACAAAACCUAAUUAGUGAAGGCAAUAAAGAAAGAAAUUGCAGCCCACAGUUGUCUGUGAUACUUGACUUGACAUACACGAAUGAUGUACAGCUCCCACAUAGAUAAAUUAUGUUUAACAUAUCUCAGUAAUUGUAGCAGCCACAGAAAAAAAGAACAGAAGAAAGAAACUUCUUUCAGUACAUCAACUGAAAGCAGGCAUAAUGCAACGCUGAGCCAGCAACACUUGGUGAAAACAACUAUAAGCCAGAUUACAACAAAGAGGAGAAAUAGGACAUUUCUUAUAUGGCACCCACUUCCAUCAAGAAAUAAAAAGAGACAAUACUAAUGAAAGCAGACUACCUUGUUUGACAAGUAUUUAAUGCCUCCAUUCACAACAUUGUCCCUAAAGGAAAAAUCAGGCAUGGCCAUCUGAGGGAGAGCUGUUCCCUGAAGGAUAUAAAGGAGACACAGAUUGCCUAUUUAAGCAGCCUCCUGUCAUUUGCAAUUCGAAAUGCUGCUUUACUUUCUAAGGUCACUCAAAACUCUUUGUGACUGAAGUCAUAACCUGAAUUUAUUUAUUCCAUAUCCUGUUUACUAAUUCACCAAUAAGUCCUCCUUACCAUGCUAACAAAUCACUGCAUCACAUGGCUUCUUUCUACACAAGAACAAAUCAGCUCAGCCAUUGAUGCCUUUGUGAACACAUUGUCAAGAUUUGUUCUACUUCAACACCAAAGCAAAGCACUGGCCUUGUGGCCUAGAAGGAAGAUAUCACUGUAGCAACUUGAGGUGCUGGUGAUACUGCGUGGUUUCCCUUCUCUUCCUCUUUACUGUACUGCACUCCUGCCAAAAGUUAACUUUACAGGAGAGUGAUUCCUUUUGAGAAGACAGACAGGGCUGCCUCAAUUAUCCUGACUCAGCACGUUUGGAACAAAACAAGGACCAACUGCAGAAAGAGACAUUUGUAAUGCUUGCUCCAGAACACAAAAUAAACAGAGCGAGUGCGCAGCUGGCCUGGUGGCAGCUACAGAGCCUAAGCCUUUGCUCGUUGUUUGGCAGGAAGAGCUGCAGUGCCUGCAUAAAAAUGAAACAUUUUCUUUUCACCAGAUCUCUUUGCCACAUUCAAGAACACCAAUAAGAUACAGCAGCUGACUGGAAAAGAGGACAGAGCCUGUUAGGAUUUCAUGUUAAGAAAAUAGCCAUUAUACUCCCAAUCCAGGACAUACAUUCUUCUAGGUUCAUAUCACCUCGAUUACUGCACUUCCAGUAAUAUAGAAACCAGGAUCCUGAGCUGAACAGAUUCAAAAAGAAAUUUCUUACUUGGGAAUAAGAAACUGCAAAAUUAACCAAGAUCUGUAUCACAAACCAACUUCAAACACGUAAAACAAAAGCACCAAAGAUUUCUACCAUGCUGAAAGUUUGUGAUUAAAAAAGCCACAAAUCUUGUUCUCAGAAGUUCAUUAUGUAGCAUUGUACACUGAAAUACAGGAUGUUGUUAUGCAGCCAAGCAUCUGGGGAGAUUAACCGUGAUUAAAAAAAAAUCUCUGGGAAAAGUAGUUAUUUAAUAGAACAAGGAUGACGGCAAAACAAGCUACCGGAUUUGUGCAAUUGAAUCAAGCUGGAUGUUAGGAACCAUUAUUUUACCAUAAAACAAAUCAAAUAGAAAUAUUUACCUUGAUCCUAAGAGAUGCUGAGUACAAAGCUCCCAGCAGUUUCCCACCAAAAAAACAGAGCAGUAUCCUUACAGACAGGGCAGUGUAAAAUGACCUGAAGCGUUCAAGAAUAUGUUUCUUCAUAGUACCAAAGUAAAGGAAUUCGGGGAAGCCACGUAGGAGGGUGUCCUGAGAGACAUGGUAAAUACCGAGCAAAGGGGAUGUUGAACCCAUGUUGCAAUGAUAGGUGUGGGCAACAACAGAGAGACUAAAGGCCAAGAGGAAGACACAGCCAAGCCCAGAGCAGAGAGAAAAAGCCAGAGACAAAAACUGUAUAGGGCUCUCUUCCUAUGUUGUAAAGCUAUCCUCCCACUACCUACAGUCACAUCAAUGCUCAUUCUCAACACACAGUUAAACUCUGCACUACAGCUGUAUUUCACCAUUCUGAAAUGCUACAUAAAUACUACAUAAUUAAAACAGCUAAAGCUUUUCCUGACAGUUUUCUUGCAUUCAAAUAUACAUGCUCAUUCUUCCAAGUAUGAAGCAUCAUCACUACUUGGAAGAAGCCUGCUCCUUGUACUGAAUAGAACUGCUUAGCUGAUUUAUAGGGCAUUUACUGUAACUGCUUCUGGGCAUAAAGCAAGCAGUUUUUGUUUGUUGGCUUGGUUAUUGGAGGGGUUUUUUUUGCUUUUUUCAGUGAAGAGUGACAACUGUCAGAAGUAUCCAUUAGCACAGAAUUUGUCCAAGAAAAAUUCUGUCAUAUUGCUGUUAUUACAGGAAAGACAAGAAAAGUAAUCUCAGACAAGGACAUAUGACUUGGCAGACGUGAAACAGAGAUAUCAGCCUCAAAUUCCAAGAACAAACUUAACUACUGCCAGCAAGCUGACAGCUACAGUUCAUGUGCAUCUGCUGUUUCCCAGAACUGCACUUUGCAGAAGUGUGAAGUUAGACACUUUGCAAUUCUAUCAAGUUGAGACAUUAAAGAAAAAAACUCAGCACUCUGAACCCAUAUUAAAAAAAAAAAGAAAACAAACUUUAAUAUGUUUUUCUCCAAGAUCUAAUAUACAAAUGCAACGGUAAUAAUGUACUCUUCUUUUGUAAGCUUGGAUGAAAUAUAUUGAAGUCCACUUUUUGCAUGUUAUGUAAAAAAUCAUCUAAAGCAACCUAGAAAAGAAGAAAAAAAGCUUAAUCCAUA